rnacentral:rRNA from 1 species
AGAGUUUGAUCAUGGCUCAGGACGAACGCUGGCGGCGUGCUUAACACAUGCAAGUCGAACGGAAAGGCCCUUCGGGGUACUCGAGUGGCGAACGGGUGAGUAACACGUGGGUGAUCUGCCCUGCACUUUGGGAUAAGCCUGGGAAACUGGGUCUAAUACCGGAUAGGACCAAGAGAUGCAUGUCUUUUGGUGGAAAGCUU